rnacentral:sRNA from 1 species
CACUAGCCCCUAUUGCAGUGGAAAUCCUUUUUUGCAUGGUCUUCGGGUUCUGGAAAUCCGAAAAGGACAUGCAAAAAAGAUUGCAACGAAAAGCGGGAUUAGCU